GACGGACGCUGGCGGCGUGCUUAACACAUGCGAGUCGAACGGAAAGGCCCUGCUUUUGUGGGGUGCUCGAGUGGCGAACGGGUGAGUAACACGUGAGUAACCUGCCCUUGACUUUGGGAUAACUUCAGGAAACUGGGGCUAAUACCGGAUAGGAGCUCCUGCUGCAUGGUGGGGGUUGGAAAGUUUCGGCGGUUGGGGAUGGACUCGCGGCUUAUCAGCUUGUUGGUGGGGUAGUGGCUUACCAAGGCUUUGACGGGUAGCCGGCCUGAGAGGGUGACCGGACAAAUUGGGAAUGAGAUACGGCCCAGACUCCUACGGGAGGCAGCAGUGGGGAAUAUUGCACAAUGGGCGGAAGCCUGAUGCAGCAACGCCGCGUGCGGGAUGACGGCCUUCGGGUUGUAAACCGCUUUCGCCUGUGACGAAGCGUGAGUGACGGUAAUGGGUAAAGAAGCACCGGCUAACUACGUG
rnacentral:rRNA from 1 species